rnacentral:rRNA from 1 species
UACAGAGACUGCAAGCGUUAUUCGGAAUCACUGGGCGUAAAGCGCACGUAGGCGGAUUGCUAAGUCAGGGGUGAAAUCCUGGAGCUCAACUCCAGAACUGCCUUUGAUACUGGCGAUCUUGAGUCCGGGAGAGGUGAGUGGAACUGCGAGUGUAGAGGUGAAAUUCGUAGAUAUUCGCAAGAACACCAGUGGCGAAGGCGGCUCACUGGCCCGGUACUGACGCUGAGGUGCGAAAGCGUGGGGAGCAAACAGG